UAGGGAAUCUUCGGCAAUGGGGGGAACCCUGACCGAGCAACGCCGCGUGAGUGAAGAAGGUUUUCGGAUCGUAAAGCUCUGUUGUUAAGGAAGAACGAGUGUGAGAAUGGAAAGUUCAUGCUGUGACGGUACUUAACCAGAAAGGGACGGCUAACUACGUGCCAGCAGCCGCGGUAAUACGUAGGUCCCGAGUGUUGUCCGGAUUUAUUGGGCGUAAAGCGAGCGCAGGCGGUCAAUUAAGUCUGAUGUGAAAGCCCCCGGCUCAACCGGGGAGGGUCAUUGGAAACUGGUUGACUUGAGUGCAGAAGAGGAGAGUGGAAUUCCAUGUGUAGCGGUGAAAUGCGUAGAUAUAUGGAGGAACACCAGUGGCGAAGGCGACUCUCUGGUCUGUAACUGACGCUGAGGUUCGAAAGCGUGGGUAGCAAACAGG
rnacentral:rRNA from 1 species